AAGCGAGGGAUAGGGUGAGGAGCUGCUACCAUAAGGAUUUCGUCAUCGAUGUAGAUAGCCAGUGGAUGCUUUAGGGGUGGAAGGGGCGGAUCAUUUAUGCACUUUCCACGUGGAAACCAGACCAUGAUAGCUUUUGAGUAUCAGAAAGCUUGCUUCUAGUUGUGUACUUGAAAUGGGAAUGCUCUUCCUGCUUCUCUGGUCCUAUGACCGCUCGGAACAAAAUCAAAGGUAUGGGACUAAUGAGUUGCAAGAGCAAUUGGUCUUAAGCACAAACAUUGCCUCAAUUUCCAACUAUGCAGAAGUCGAAUUCUCAUGAGAGUCCCAAAGCCAUGAGGUCAGUGUUAUGAAUGACUAUACUGAUGAAAGCAUCAUUUGUGAAUGCUAUUGGAAGAUUGGAGCCUGUAACAUUAUGUGUAGCAGAGCUUGCAGUUGAAUCUCCACAAGGCAUCCUUUGUACUCCUGACACUGUUGCUAAAUUUCAGGUUGGAUAUACGCCUGAUUAUCUUUUAUUUCUGCAAACAAUUCUGAGAUCAGAUCCCCAGGAUUGAUGGUAACUCAUGGAAAUGAUGCUCCUUUGGCUGUGAUGCUCCAAUUCGAGAGAAAAUAGUCAUGUGGAAGGGGACCAUACUGAAACAGUUCAUGUGGAAGGUUAUGUGGCAGUUUGUUUAUUUUGAAAACUUUAACAUUAAUUGUUUUGUUGAUUGUUGUCUUGAUGGAUGUCAAAUGGGUGAAACAUGCACAAGUUCAAUCAUUGGUUGAUUAUAAUAUUGUUAGCUUUUGUUGAUAGAAACUAGAUUUAGCCUCGAUUAUUGAUAAAUGAUGUUAAAAAUUGAUUUUAGCCUCAGUUGAUGCCAACAAAGGCUAAAUCUAUCUUUAGUCUCAAUUUUGCCUUAGUUAUCUAAACUGAGACUACAACUUCUGUGGCUAAAGCCUUUAGCCUCGCUUGUUGAGAACCGAGGUUAAAAAUAGAUUUAGCUUCGGUUGGAAGCAAUUGAGGCUAAAAUUUGGAUUUAGUCUCAGUUGGAAACAAUGGAGGCUAAAAUUUUGAUUUAGCCUCAUUUUGAGAAAACUGAAGCUAGAAAGGUUCUUUUAGCCUCACUUGAAGAACUGAGGCUAUAAAAGUCAUUUUAGCCUCGGUUGCUAAAACUGAGGCUAAAGCCUUUAGCCACGGGGGUUUCAACCUCGGUUUGGAUAAUUGAGGCAAAACUGAGGCUAAAGGCCUUAGCCUCAGUUUUUAACCUUUUUAGUCACAGUUUU